rnacentral:rRNA from 1 species
GGGGAAUCUUGCGCAAUGGGCGAAAGCUUGACGCAGCAACGCCGCGUGCGGGAUGACGGCCUUCGUGGUUGUAAACCGCUUUCAGCAGGGACGAAAAUGACGGUACCUGCAGAAGAAGCCCCGGCUAACUACGUGCCAGCAGCCGCGGUAAUACGUAGGGGGCAAGCGUUGUCCGGAAUCAUUGGGCGUAAAGAGCUCGUAGGCGGUUCAGUAAGUCGGGUGUGAAAGCUCCGAGCUCAACUCGGAGAGGCCACUCGAUACUGCUGUGACUAGAAUCCAGUAGGGGAGUGUGGAACUCCUGGUGUAGCGGUGAAAUGCGCAGAUAUCAGGAAGAACACCAGCGGCGAAGGCGGCACUCUGGGCUGGUAUUGACGCUGAGGAGCGAAAGUGUAGGUAGCAAAC